rnacentral:rRNA from 1 species
CCGCGUGAGUGAUUGAAGGGCCUUAGGGUUGUAAAGCUCUUUCGGGUGGGACCGAUGAUGACGGUACCACCAAGAAGAAGCCCCGGCUAACUUCGUGC